AUUUUUGGUUGUGUACUUCAUUGCUGUCAUUGUGAGGAGGGACUACAAACUGGAAAACUCUUUUCUUCAAUUGAUAAACACGUUUCUGCUUUUCGAAGCGGAUGUAAUGAAAGAUUUCCAAAAUUGCCCACUUACAAUUGGCGAAAAAGUGUCGAAAAUAAUGGUAUCAUUGUGCGAAGCUUCAAUCGCAGUUCUUCCUGCAUUGCAGUUUGUUCUCUUAAUGUACGCUCCAUGCACGUCACCAUUCAUUUUGUCCAUGUUUCCGAAUUUGUAAGGAGAUUACGACCGAUUACCACUGGUACAUUGUGUGGAUUCACAGUUUUGAAACCUGGAUGUGCUAUCAUAUGCUAGUUUCUGGGUCGUCUGGCUUGCUUUAUGGUCUUUUCGUUGGAAUACUUUGUCUCAUGAGUUACAUCAAGAAGCUGGGAAGAAAAAUUUCUGCAAACAGUAGCAUCAACGACAAAGAGGCCAGUGUCCAACUAUACCGAAGAAUUCAGAUACUUGAAAAAUCUGUGAACGCAUAUGUAAUGGACAGAAUUAUGCCAGCAUACAUCCUUGGCGGUCCCAUUGUUCAAAUUGUCUCCAUGUUCGCCUGCAUUAAUCUGCAUAACGAAAUAAAAAUGCCGGGAUUCAUUCUUUUCCCAAUGUUAGCGGUGGACGCGAUUUCUGCAAACACCAUCAGCCUAACACUGGCCUCUUGCGUAUAUAGGUUUUCAAAGCAGGUGCUUCAGCGGCUAAGAAAUGUGUCAACCUGUUCUGGCUGUAAUAAGUUAACGAAGCGUGAAAUGAAAUCGAUUUCGAUUUUGAAGAUUAAAUUUGGAUCGAAUUUCAUCGAUCGAAAAACACCGCUCGUCAUACAGAACUUCUGUCUU